CCGACGACAGGCGUAAACGCGUCAAUACGCGAAACGUGUCACGCGAAACAACGAGACGUGCAAUUUUUUGUUCUGCCGAACAGGUAGAGAAUCGGCAGAAAAAGGCUCUACUUCAAAGUACACAACCUUGUGUGGUCAUGUAAUGUCGCGGUAAAUUAUCCACUACGGCGCAUCAUUUUAAACAGCUGUGACAUCGAAGCUCCAACCGGAUAAUACGUAGUUCAAUUUUAAGUCGCACAAUUUCUUUUUUUUUUAAAUACAUCAAUACAAAGUACAUUACAUCGCCAAAUAAUGUCUAAAUUAUCGAUUGUUCGAACCUUAUUUAACGGAGAACAAACAGCCGAGCAGAUACUGCGCGCGAGAGAAACCGAGGAGAGGAAGAAACGUCUCUCGCGGAACAGCAUUCGGGGAUUUUAACGGACGGCCGUUAGGAUCUCCACGUCGGCGUCCCCGCCGAGGAUCAUGGCAGGACCCGGAGACAACGCGACGACAGCCGAGAGGCACGGACACGUCAGAAUCCGUAUUUCGGACAAAGGAGCGAAAGAGAGGGAGAGAAAGAGAGCCGAAGGGAGACGGACCGAACUAGUAAACACUAGAGAUGAUGUGACUCGUCGAAGGGGGCUACCGUAGUGUUCGAGUUCGCCACGCUUCCUUUUUAUCGAGCAACCGAUGUAAGAAGCGAGAUAAGGAUACGUGUAGCGAUAACGAGCCACGAUAUCCCGCAGCAGGUGAAAACACCAUCUGGUCCGGACGGGGCGACGAGGAGGACGAAAAAAAUGACACUGUCAAAACGUCGCGCGAUCCUAACGCGAUGGUAAUCGAGGAUUUCGAAAUCGGAGCCGCCGCGGUAACAGGAACUGCUCCGAAAAACGGUGACCGUGCCCGGACGUGUCUUGGACCUUCCCGGACAACAGACAGGGACGUUUUGAACGGAUACGUACCUCUCCGAUUGAACGGCCGGACCCGUACGGCAACCUUUAUUUUAUCCGUAGCCAUGAUUUCACACCGGUAACGCGCACUGUAUAUCCCGAUCACAAGGAACUGCUCGAUGCUUUUUUAUACACAAAUAGAAUCUUCACACGAUCUUCAUAGCGCUACAUUAUUCUCAACCCAUACCGCGAACCUUUCAUCUUUUCAAACGGCACUACGUCUCACCGAGCCCAUGACACACUUCGCCAUAUUGCUUGAAGCUCGUCGUGCACCAGACGACAGUCGUUCUAUCGAGUGAACGUACUUUCGAGAACUGCCGCUAGGAACGCUCGAGAGCUCGAGCACUGUGACGUCACCUCGUGACGGAAUCAACCGUUGCCAAUCUCAGGCUGCCGAAAUCCUCCAGACUCGAAAAUCGCUGUGUUAUCGACCUCGCGGAUUUUCUAUGUUAUCGAUCGUUCGUUUGGAUUUUUCGUCCGAUUCGUUAGCACAGUGUACAAAAUAGUUGCUUGCGAUUCAAAAAUGAAAGAUAUAAUAAUUCUGCUUUCUUUUUGAAUUAGAUGAGUUAUGAAACAUGUACUGUGAAGUAUUUUUACGCAUUAUCAAAUUGUUCGAUCGUUUGAUACGUUUAUAAACUGCGUCGAAAUGUUGAAGGGUCGGUUCAUUUUUUUUAAAUUAUUUUACUGAAUAUCCUAUUGCGCGCCAUCUGACGAAGAAAUUUCGUACGAAACAAUCGAUGCGGCUGUCGAUCAAUAAAGCAUAUUCAAAAUGUUCCAACCUACGAACAUUUUAAUGCUGCAGGAAAAAUUAUUUUAUCGAGCUUCUCUCUUGCAAUAAAUUCGUUGAUUACUUAUGGAA